AUUGAACGCUGGCGGCAGGCCUAACACAUGCAAGUCGAGCGGAUGAAGGGAGCUUGCUCCUGGAUUCAGCGGCGGACGGGUGAGUAAUGCCUAGGAAUCUGCCUGGUAGUGGGGGAUAACGUCCGGAAACGGGCGCUAAUACCGCAUACGUCCUGAGGGAGAAAGUGGGGGAUCUUCGAACCUCACGCUAUCAGAUGAGCCUAGGUCGGAUUAGCUAGUUGGUGGGGUAAAGGCCUACCAAGGCGACGAUCCGUAACUGGCCUGAGAGGAUGAUCAGUCAGGCGGGAACGGAGAACCGGUCAGACUGCCACGGGGAGGCGGCAGUGGGGAAUAUUGGACAAGGGGGGAAAGCCUGUUCCGGCAUGGCCGAGUGUGUGAAGAAGGUUUGCGGUUUGGAAAGACAUUUAAGUUGGGGGGAGGGGCAGUAAUUUAAUACCUGGCUUUUUUAACGUUUCCAACAAAAAAAGCCCCGGCAAACUUGUG
rnacentral:rRNA from 1 species